CAGUAGCCGCGGGAAUACGUAGGGUGCGAGCGUUAAUCGGAAUUACUGAGCGUAAAGCGUGCGCAGGCGGUUCGUUAAGACAGAUGUGAAAUCCCCGGGCUUAACCUGGGAACUGCAUUUGUGACUGGCGAGCUAGAGUAUGGCAGAGGGGGGUAGAAUUCCACGUGUAGCAGUGAAAUGCGUAGAGAUGUGGAGGAAUACCGAUGGCGAAGGCAGCCCCCUGGGCCAAUACUGACGCUCAUGCACGAAAGCGUGGGGAGCAAACAGGAUUAGAUACCCCUGUAGUCCCUGUCUCUUAUAA
rnacentral:rRNA from 1 species